CUGGCGGCGUGCCUAAUACAUGCAAGUCGAACGCACUCUCGUUUAGAGUUGAAGGAGCUUGCUCCUGAUUGAUAAACAUUUGAGUGAGUGGCGGACGGGUGAGUAACACGUGGGUAACCUGCCCUAAGUGGGGAUAACAUUUGGAACAGAUGCUAAUACCGCAUAAAACCUAACACCGCAUGGUGUAGGGUUGAAAGAUGGUUUCGGCUAUCACUUUAGGAUGGACCCGCGGUGCAUUAGUUAGUUGGUGAGGUAAAGGCUCACCAAGACCGUGAUGCAUAGCCGACCUGAGAGGGUAAUCGGCCACACUGGGACUGAGACACGGCCCAGACUCCUACGGGAGGCAGCAGUAGGGAAUCUUCCACAAUGGACGAAAGUCUGAUGGAGCAACGCCGCGUGAGUGAAGAAGGUUUUCGGAUCGUAAAACUCUGUUGUUGGAGAAGAAUGUAUCUGAUAGUAACUGAUCAGGUAGUGACGGUAUCCAACCAGAAAGCCACGGCUAACUACGUG
rnacentral:rRNA from 1 species